GACGAACGCUGGCGGCGCGCCUAACACAUGCAAGUCGAACGGAGCUGCGAGAAGCUUGCUUUUCUUAGCUUAGUGGCGAACGGGUGAGUAACGCGUGAGUAACCUGCCCUGGAGUGGGGGACAACAGUUGGAAACGACUGCUAAUACCGCAUAAGCCCACGAUCCGGCAUCGGCAUGAGGGAAAAGGAUUUAUUCGCUUCAGGAUGGACUCGCGUCCAAUUAGCUAGUUGGUGAGGUAACGGCCCACCAAGGCGACGAUUGGUAGCCGGACUGAGAGGUUGAACGGCCACAUUGGGACUGAGACACGGCCCAGACUCCUACGGGAGGCAGCAGUGGGGGAUAUUGCACAAUGGGGGAAACCCUGAUGCAGCGACGCCGGGUGGAGGAAGAAGGUUUUCGGAUUGUAAACUCCUGUCGUGAGGGACGAUAAUGACGGUACCUAACAAGAAAGCACCGGCUAACUACGUG
rnacentral:rRNA from 1 species